rnacentral:piRNA from 1 species
UGAUAUGUGACCAGCCAGGGCUUGUGG